UUACAGCACCAGCCUAAGCUAAGGAAUACGUAAGUCCGUAUUAUAUAUCUAUAUAUAUUUGUGGUUUCGUGUUGGCGAUAUUUACUAGACGUUCCGAGCGUUAGUUAUUAAGAUUGGAAAAGAUACAUAUCAAUGUGGCAUAAUGCUUAUCAACAUUCCAAAAUACUUAUUUGAUAUACAUAUUUAAUCAGCUAUAUACAUAUAUAUAUAUAUCGCUAUAUAGUCGAAAAAGACUUCCCGCAACGAGAACAUAUCAUUGAAAAAACUGCUUAAAAAAACUCAAAGUAUAUACAUAUCAUUAUUGUUACUCGUUUACCCCGUUGUUCAGUUAGGACUAUAUCGUAUCCCUCAACUGAACUUGGCGUGAACGGACCACGUAGUAUUGUUAUUGUUAGUUAUCCACGUUGGAGACGGCAUCGAAGGGAGAGCUUUGAAUGGAACGCGGGUGCUGCUUGAUCCUAAAGGGGGGGGUUGCCAGCAACGCCCCCUUGUCUGAUUGUAAAAAGUUGUUUAGGUUUUUAGAGCGUCGAUGCGAGCAGAUUUAAAUAAAUAAAUGUGAAUUGUACCAGAUAUGUACAUAACAAUAUAUAAAUAUAUUUAUCGAAUCUUAUAUGUGUAUAAUAAAGUUUAUUGUUUCCAUGUAUAUACGAGUUUUCAUAUCCCUUGACUUAAACUUCUUAAAGCUAACACAUAUUCGUUAUUUGCUUUAGCUUAAUCCUAAGUGCAAAAGUUGUCAAAAUGCAAGUACUUUUAAGAGCUGUGCCCGGCUAUUGUCCAGGCAGACAAUUCUCGACGGUGGAUCGCGACAGGGCGCGUCAGCUUAUAAAGCAGCUAACCCGGGAGGCCGGAGAGCUGAUGAUGAAGGGGCAGGAGCAGAAGCCGGAGUUCAUAAUAAAGGCACAUCAGCGCGAUCUGGUGACACAGACGGACAAGGCUGUGGAGCGCCUGCUGGUCGGUGGUAUACGGAAACAGUUUCCAGAUCACGAGAUCAUUGCCGAGGAAGGCACUGAAGGCACCGCCAAGAACUGGGUCGUGAGCGAUGCGCCCACUUGGAUCAUAGAUCCCGUUGACGGGACAAUGAACUUUGUGCACGGGUUCCCACACUUCUGCACAUCGAUUGCCCUGUACGUGGAGCGGAGGGCCGUGCUCGGCUGGAUUGACAAUCCCAUGCUGAGGCACACAUAUGUCGCGCAGCAAGGAUCGGGAUUCUACUUCAAUGGAAACCCGAUGCGGGUCAGCGGACAGCGGGAUCUCAAGCAGUCGCUGGUCUGUCUCGACUGGACCGUGGCUCUGGGCGAAGAUGGCCAGGAUUCGGCCUCGCCCAAUAUAUUCAAGCUGCUGCCCAUGGUGCAUGGCGUACGCGCCCUCGGCUCAACGGCGCUCAAUCUGGCGCAGGUGGCUAUUGGUGCCUGCGAUGCCUACUUGCAGUUCGGUUCACACGUUUGGGAUUGGGCUGCAGGCGUGCUGAUGGUAGAGGAGGCGGGUGGUGUGGUCAUCGAUCCGUGCGGCGGCCCCUUUGAUAUAUAUUCGCGUCGCAUGCUGGCAACGGCAACGGCCGAGCUGGCCGAGCAAAUGGUGCCCCUGGUGCAGCAGCUGUUCCCCCAGCCACGUGACGACGAGCCAACAAAUCCAGGGAAACAAUCGAAGCCUUAAGCAUGCCUUGACUACGAUCAGCCAAUGCUAUGCCGUGUAUGGAGAAAUAAAUCAUUUUAAAUUUUCAAGUGAUUCAAGAUAGCCAAAUGCAAAGCAUAAUUAGGGGUUUCUUGACAAGCAGCCGUCGCCAGUGCCAGGCUCCGCCUGCAACGGCGACUGGCUCAUCUGUCCAGGCAGUGUCACAGGGACAAGAUGACAUAUGUCGUCAUGGCAUGGACAAAUGCCUCGAGCUGGCCUGUAAAGGCGUGCGACAGCAGAUGCAUGCCUUCCAGGCGAGGCACAGCCCCAAGAUGGCGGCAAACAAAUGGGACACGCUGAUUGAGGAUGUGCUGGUGCGGGACACCGCGAUGCAUUCGCCAAAUGAAUUCAUAGCCGAGAACAAGGCUGAUGAGUCCAUCUGGCCUGUAAAUGACAUCGAUGGCUCUGUUAAACUUUUCUCCGGCUGUCCCAAUGCUGCCAGUUCGUGGAAGAUGGGCUCUGCAAUGCUGACUGUGCCGCAGGCGAGUGGCAUAGUCAUGGAUACCCCAGUGAAUCCUUUACAUUUCAUUAGCCUCUGGCUGCUCCCAUCAAAACAGCGGGAUGAUGAGCUUGAAGGUGUACAAACAAAUGAACCAGUUGACCAGGACUCUGCUGGGAACGACAAGCUGCCCAGCGAGAGAGCUGCAGAGCAGUCGAUUGUGGCAAUAGCCAAAGCGAAGGACACAGGGAAAUCUAAAAAAUCAUCAGGAAAGACUUGUCCACAACAGCCGCGAGUUCGUAAACAGAAAAGAAAACUUGCAAGGCGGCCAGCCAGAAAACCUUGUGGUACACCCAAUAAGCGGGACGACUCGAUACCCGGUGAUCCGUGCAUGCCCGGCUAUAGUUUGUA